ACGACGAAGAUGUUUACAUCACAGACCCUGAAAAAGACUCCAUUGAAGCACAGCAGGAUAAGCAACGUUGAGAUAUGUAUAUUUUAUUUAAGUUAAAACUAUAUUUCAUUAAAAUAUAAACUAAUCUUAUGAUUUUUUUCUUUUUGUAGCAAUUUCUUUUCGUUACAGAAGCUGAGGCCAGAGGAUAUUAGUCAUGGACCAUGAAGAUGGAUGGUUUCAUUGUAGAUGACAGAUAUCGUAGCAUACGUUACGAAGAAGAUGUUUACAUCACAGACCCUGAAAAAGACUCCAUUGAAGCACAGCAGGAUAAGCAACGUUGAGAUAUGUAUAUUUUAUUUAAGUUAAAACUAUAUUUCAUUAAAAUAUAAACUAAUCUUAUGAUUUUUUUCUUUUUGUAGCAAUUUCUUUUCGUUACAGUAGCUGAGGCCAGAGGAUAUUACUCAUGGACCAUGAAGAUGGAUGGUUUCAUUGUAGAUGACAGAUAUCGUAGCAUACGUUACGAAGAAGAUGUUUACAUCACAGACCCUGAAAAAGACUCCAUUGAAGCACAGCAGGAUAAGCAACGUUGAGAUAUGUAUAUUUUAUUUAAGUUAAAACUAUAUUUCAUUAAAAUAUAAACUAAUCUUAUGAUUUUUUUUCUUUUUCUAGCAAUUUCUUUUCGUUACAGUAGCUGAGGCCAGAGGAUAUUAGUCAUGGACCAUGAAGAUGGAUGGUUUCAUUGUAGAUGACAGAUAUCGUAGCAUACGUUACGAAGAAGAUGUUUACAUCACAGACCCUGAAAAAGACUCCAUUGAAGCACAGCAGGAUAAGCAACGUUGAGAUAUGUAUAUUUUAUUUAAGUUAAAACUAUAUUUCAUUAAAAUAUAAACUAAUCUUAUGAUUUUUUUUCUUUUUCUAGCAAUUUCUUUUCGUUACAGUAGCUGAGGCCAGAGGAUAUUAGUCAUGGACCAUGAAGAUGGAUGGUUUCAUUGUAGAUGACAGAUAUCGUAGCAUACGUUACGAAGAAGAUGUUUACAUCACAGACCCUGAAAAAGACUCCAUUGAAGCACAGCAGGAUAAGCAACGUUGAGAUAUGUAUAUUUUAUUUAAGUUAAAACUAUAUUUCAUUAAAAUAUAAACUAAUCUUAUGAUUUUUUUUCUUUUUCUAGCAAUUUCUUUUCGUUACAGUAGCUGAGGCCAGAGGAUAUUAGUCAUGGACCAUGAAGAUGGAUGGUUUCAUUGUAGAUGACAGAUAUCGUAGCAUACGUUACGAAGAAGAUGUUUACAUCACAGACCCUGAAAAAGACUCCAUUGAAGCACAGCAGGAUAAGCAACGUUGAGAUAUGUAUAUUUUAUUUAAGUUGAAACUAUAUUUCAUUAAAAUAUAAACUAAUCUUAUGAUUUUUUUCUUUUUGUAGCAGUUUCUUUUCGUUACAGUAGCUGAGGCCAGAGGAUACUAGUCAUGGACCAUGAAGAUGGAUGGUUUCAUUGUAGAUGACAGAUAUAGUAGCAUAGUGAAGAUUGAAAAACCAAAUAAAGCAGCAAAGAUAGCAGUUCCAUGGAAGAUGUUUACUUAGAUCUUCAACCAAGUCUGAGGACUGCCAGGAAAGGAACCAAGCAUCAAGGAUAGCCGCUCCAAGGAAGAUUAUUAGAUUGAUCUUCACCCCCAAGUCUGAGGCUUUGACAUGAAAGAA